rnacentral:rRNA from 1 species
GAAGAAGGUUUUCGGAUCAUAAAACUCUGUGUGUAGAGAAGAACAAGGACGUUAGUAACUGAACGUCCCCUGACGGUAUCUAACCAGAAAGCCACGGCUAACUACGUGCCAGCAGCCGCGGUAAUACGUAGGUGGCAAGCGUUGUCCGGAUUUAUUGGGCGUAAAGCGAGCGCAGGCGGUUUCUUAAGUCUGAUGUGAAAGCCCCCGGCUCAACCGGGGAGGGUCAUUGGAAACUGGGAGACUUGAGUGCAGAAGAGGAGAGUGGAAUUCCAUGUGUAGCGGUGAAAUGCGUAGAUAUAUGGAGGAACACCAGUGGCGAAGGCGGCUCUCUGGUCUGUAACUGACGCUGAGGCUCGAAAGCGUGGGGAGCAAACAGGAUUAGAUACCCUGGUAGUCCACGCCGUAAACGAUGAGUGCUAAGUG